AGUCGAGCGGUAGCACAGAGAGCUUGCUCUCGGGUGACGAGCGGCGGACGGGUGAGUAAUGUCUGGGAAACUGCCUGAUGGAGGGGGAUAACUACUGGAAACGGUAGCUAAUACCGCAUAACGUCGCAAGACCAAAGUGGGGGACCUUCGGGCCUCAUGCCAUCAGAUGUGCCCAGAUGGGAUUAGCUAGUAGGUGGGGUAACGGCUCACCUAGGCGACGAUCCCUAGCUGGUCUGAGAGGAUGACCAGCCACACUGGAACUGAGACACGGUCCAGACUCCUACGGGAGGCAGCAGUGGGGAAUAUUGCACAAUGGGCGCAAGCCUGAUGCAGCCAUGCCGCGUGUGUGAAGAAGGCCUUCGGGUUGUAAAGCACUUUCAGCGGGGAGGAAGGCGUUGAGGUUAAUAACCUUGGCGAUUGACGUUACCCGCAGAAGAAGCACCGGCUAACUCCGUGCCAGCAGCCGCGGUAAUACGGAGGGUGCAAGCGUUAAUCGGAAUUACUGGGCGUAAAGCGCACGCAGGCGGUCUGUCAAGUCGGAUGUGAAAUCCCCGGGCUCAACCUGGGAACUGCAUUCGAAACUGGCAGGCUAGAGUCUUGUAGAGGGGGGUAGAAUUCCAGGUGUAGCGGUGAAAUGCGUAGAGAUCUGGAGGAAUACCGGUGGCGAAGGCGGCCCCCUGGACAAAGACUGACGCUCAGGUGCGAAAGCGUGGGGAGCAAACAGGAUUAGAUACCCUGGUAGUCCACGCCGUAAACGAUGUCGAUUUGGAGGUUGUGCCCUUGAGGCGUGGCUUCCGGAGCUAACGCGUUAAAUCGACCGCCUGGGGAGUACGGCCGCAAGGUUAAAACUCAAAUGAAUUGACGGGGGCCCGCACAAGCGGUGGAGCAUGUGGUUUAAUUCGAUGCAACGCGAAGAACCUUACCUGGUCUUGACAUCCACAGAACUUUCCAGAGAUGGAUUGGUGCCUUCGGGAACUGUGAGACAGGUGCUGCAUGGCUGUCGUCAGCUCGUGUUGUGAAAUGUUGGGUUAAGUCCCGCAACGAGCGCAACCCUUAUCCUUUGUUGCCAGCGGUUCGGCCGGGAACUCAAAGGAGACUGCCAGUGAUAAACUGGAGGAAGGUGGGGAUGACGUCAAGUCAUCAUGGCCCUUACGACCAGGGCUACACACGUGCUACAAUGGCAUAUACAAAGAGAAGCGACCUCGCGAGAGCAAGCGGACCUCAUAAAGUAUGUCGUAGUCCGGAUUGGAGUCUGCAACUCGACUCCAUGAAGUCGGAAUCGCUAGUAAUCGUAGAUCAGAAUGCUACGGUGAAUACGUUCCCGGGCCUUGUACACACCGCCCGUCACACCAUGGGAGUGGGUUGCAAAAGAAGUAGGUAG
rnacentral:rRNA from 1 species